rnacentral:rRNA from 1 species
UCCAGACUCCUACGGGAGGCAGCAGUGGGGGAUAUUGCACAAUGGGGGGAACCCUGAUGCAGCGACGCCGCGUGGGUGAAGGAGCGUUUCGGCGCGUAAAGCCCUAUCGGCAGGGAAGAAGGAGGACGGUACCUGACUAAGAAGCCCCGGCUAACUACGUGCCAGCAGCCGCGGUAAUACGUAGGGGGCAAGCGUUAUCCGGAUUUACUGGGUGUAAAGGGGGCGCAGACGGCAGCGCAAGCCAGGAGUGAAAGCCCGGGGCCCAACCCCGGGACUGCUCUUGGAACUGCGUGGCUGGAGUGCAGGAGGGGCAGGCGGAAUUCCUGGUGUAGCGGUGAAAUGCGUAGAUAUCAGGAGGAACACCGGUGGCGAAGGCGGCCUGCUGGACUGCAACUGACGUUGAGGCCCGAAGGCGUGGGGAGCAAACAGGAUUAGAUACCCCGGUAGG